AUACGGAGGAUCCGAGCGUUAUCCGGAUUUAUUGGGUUUAAAGGGAGCGUAGGUGGACAGUUAAGUCAGUUGUGAAAGUUUGCGGCUCAACCGUAAAAUUGCAGUUGAUACUGGCUGUCUUGAGUACAGUAGAGGCGGGAGGAAUUCGUGGGGUAGCGGUGAAAUGCUUAGAUAUCACGAAGAACUCCGAUUGCGAAGGCAGCUCACUGGACUGCAACUGACACUGAUGCUCGAAAGUGUGGGUAUCAAACAGGAUUAGAUACCCUGGUAGUCCACACAGUAAACGAUGAAUACUCGCUGUUUGCGAUAUACAGUAAGCGGCCAAGCGAAAGCAUUAAGUAUUCCACCUGGGGAGUACGCCGGCAACGGUGAAACUCAAAGGAAUUGACGGGG
rnacentral:rRNA from 1 species